rnacentral:rRNA from 1 species
GACAGAGGUGCCGAGCGUUAGGCGGAAUCACUGGGCUUAAAGCGUGUGUAGGCGGAUUUGUAAGUACCUUGUGAAAUCCCACGGCUCAACCGUGGAACUGCUUGGUAUACUGCUUAUCUUGAGCCACUUAGGGGCAGUCGGAACAGACGGUGGAGCGGUGAAAUGCGUAGAUAUCGUCUGGAACGCCAAAGGUGAAAACAGACCGCUGGGAGUGUGCUGACGCUGAGACACGAAAGCCAGGGGAGCAAACGGG